GGCCCCGAGAAUGUCAGACUGCAAACCUGACUUCGGCGCUUUGCCCGGGGCUU
rnacentral:tRNA from 1 species